CGGCUCUGCCAGCUGAUCGGAGUGAGAAGCCGGUUUGAAGAGUUGAAGGAGUGAGAGAGAGAGAGAGAUAUGGGGAUAGCCCGUGAAGCGACGAGAGAAACGGGGGAACAGGGCGAGCAGGAUAUGCCUUUUUACGUCCCGUGUUAUUUAUUUUAUAACAGUUAAAUCGCACCGGACGGCUCCAAUAGAAAGAUAAGCGACAGCGUGAUGGAGCAUUUGCGAGGCUUUAAGCCACCGAAAGCUCGGGAACUGUCAGAAAAAAUUGACAGAGUUAAGGUGUGGCUGAGAGAUUUUCAAAGGCGUUUGGUAUAGUAGUGUUUUUAAAUUCAGGUGGUUAAGUUUAUACUGUCGUUUUGUAAGCAUGUACGGUUGAUCAGUAUGGCUGCUCCAACAUUUAUUACCAGUCAUGCUUAAUCGGGGUGAUCUUUUUUUCCUUAUGCGUUACAACUCAAUGUGCGCACCUUUUAAAUUGAGUAAGUGCAGGAGCCUAGAUUUUGUCACAUCGUUAAUAGCCUGAUUCGUUUUUUAGGGCAGUGGGUUCCACACGUAUCGUGUCAGGAGACCCUCGAAUGUAAUGGACGUGGCAACUUUACAGUAGCCAACCCCGAUCAAUGUAACGUCAACUAUGCCAUAGGCAACUGGGCGUGGGGAAAACCGUACAUUACGUUUCUUUCAACGCCUAAUAGUCAUCAACUCGACCCUAAAGAGAGAGUUGCGCAUUUCACGCAUUAAAUAUCCGAGGCUGUGGCUGCUGACAAACGCUUCGAUGGGACCAAUCGAUGGAUUUACCUUAAAAAAGUAUACCUCUUCAAAAAAACAAAAGAAUAUUCUUUCGCUGGCGGUGGUUUGAUCAAGCACCUUUUCUACUACGUUGAGGAACCUUGGUGGUUUCCAUGAGUGAGGUUUCACCCAAAGACUCACCCUGAAGAGGUGUGAAGUUUUAGUUUGUGUGUGCAUUCUGGGUGCCUCGUGGCUGACCCACAUCAGUUCUUCACUGGCAAGCUUUAUGUCAUAUGUACCAACUAAAGCUGCCAGCUGAAGAACUGUUGUGGUUGGCUCUUUCCUGCACCUCAAGACCCCUCUCAUCAUGUGAGAUUUCUCUCCGCCUCCAUCCAGGUGACUUGUGAAGCAGAGGGGGAACAACUCCUAGGAAACGUACAGCAUUAUGUCACUAAGAUGGAUGCCACUGAGAUAAAUGUAUUAACAUGCAUGUCAAAGGAUUUUUUGCUUCUACAUUGUAUCUUGAUUAGAUUUGAUUAUAUACAUAGGCCUGAUAGUCUUGAAGGUCAAUGUAAUUUAUAUUGAUUUUACUUAUGUUGUUAAUGUUAUUAAUGUCCAGUAUGAAACAGAAGAGGCAUGUAAUAUUCCAAUGUAUGUUUCACCAACCUUGCAUCAAUGAAAAAUGACAUCAUAUUUUAAUAAAGAAUAUUACACAUCCAAGUCGUGAUUAUUUAUAUUUUUCAUUUUUAUGACUUUAGUAUGAGUCAUUGGUUGUGUUUUGAAUUCACUGAAUACUGAAAUGUUUUUUUGGUAUCACAUAACCAUGGAAAAAGGCAACAGUGAGAUAAGCACAAAUUCCUCUUUGAGGUGUAGUCAGAAACCAACACCCCGCUCACAGGAUAGACUCUAAAAACCACACCAGAAACCAACUCGCCCCGAUAUCACAUUCGUCUUUGUGUUAAAGAUCUCAUAUUGCACCCAAAACACUUUUCUUCCAUUGUUGACAUUGUCAACUGCUGAAAGGAUCAGCUGGUAAUAUUAUCACAAUUGUGAUUAGCAUUCUCAAAAGUGUGGUAGAAAUGAAAUGCACUACCAAAUACAACACGUCAUUACCGAAGAUACUAAAUCAUUGAGCAAUUGAUUAAGAUCAGAAAUAAACUAUGCAUUCAUAUGCAUACAUAACGAUAAUUCUUUUUUUAACCAAAUUGAUAAAUGAUCAAUACUGUAGGUGAAACAGCUAGACUUUCUGUAGCAUUUCUCUCUAUCCAUCUUUCUUUCUUAGCUAUUCUCAUACCGACUUAUAUUUAAAACUAACCACGGCGUGUACUGUAUACCUGAGCAGCAGACCCAACUGCACCCGAGCUGCUCCUCUUUCUAGGCUGUGAUACUGGCUUCAACGGGCAGUGCCCCGAACAGGAAAUGAGAGUGAACAUGUCCCUGUAAAAGCUGCCAGCGAGCCUUGAACAAAGGAAAAGAAUGUUCUAGAGCCUUAGCAAAACCAGAUGCCCCGACGUUCGCUUGUUACAGGGCGCAUGCUCUCGUUUGCACUCACUUGAACUGCUAAACAGACCCGAGAACUAGGCGGAACACCCCCCACCCCCCCAAAAUCUUCCUGUUUCUUAAUCAAUUCCUAUCCUAAGUGACCACAUUUUGUAGGCAGAGAUCCCUGUCUGCAUCUUAAUGGUCUCAUACUCCUUGCCUGUUCCCUUUUUCGUUCUGACAUGCUCGAAUGACCUCUCUUGUAACCCCAGUUACAUGCACAUGAUGAAGCAGGCAGACAGACUGAGAGCUCCUCUGAGACACUCUGCCUCACGGCCUAGUACACUAUCUCUGGGCUACGGCAGCACUGCAGACGUUUUCUGCAGUGAGCGUUCCAGCAGGCCGCCCAGGUCUGAUCCCAGGUCCUUUACCAGGUCAGCGACAUGGUCUGCUCCCAGGUCAAUGAUAUGGUCUGUUCCCAGGUCAGCGACAUGGUCUGCUCCCAGGUCAAUGAUAUGGUCUGUUCC